GGUCUCCCUCUCCCGUGCUUGCUUCCAAGUUCCAUUUAAGAGUAUUAAGCGAGAGAUACGAAGAGACAACUCUGCAGCUAGGAAGGAAUUCAAGAUCAUACCCAUCUUCCCUUUCCUUUUUCACAGACAUGCAUACCGACUUUGAAGGUUUUUUGUUCUGAGAGUUUCUGUCUUCGUUCGUACAUUCUCAACUCAUUUUGGCCAACAGGGCUAAGAGUGAUCAGCAGUUCCAACUUCACAUCGAUUUACUAUGGCUUUUGGGGGAGUUGAGGUGAAGCCUGGGCAAUGUGUCCUUUCUAACUCAAAUGGUAAAAGACUUUGAAUUACUCAGGCGUCUUUGGGGAUUGGCAAUGCGACGGAAAAGACCAUUGUCCAAUGUAGUGUUGGGAGGAAGAGGAGACCAAUUAUCCUGUGUGCUUUGGUACCAUGUAAAGUUGAGUCAUGCCGUUUGGAGUUGGAGACAUUGAUGAAAAUGAGACAUAGCGAGCUACCAGUUUCGCCACCUUCCCCGAUAAGAAAAAAGAAGACUAAGGAACCUAGGUUCAAACGGCUCAAGAAGAAGUUUGAUGUUGAGUUUGAUCAAAAUGAUGUGUUGAUCGAGAGCAAAAAUGAAGUUGUUGGUAGCCAUGACUGUGAACUGAAGGAAAACGAAGAUGUAAUUGAGGCAAGUUGUCAACAACGAAGGUAAUAUGGAUAACUGAUUAUAACUUUGUAAUAAGUUUCUUAUGUGGAUUAUUUUUCUUAAAUUUAUCUUCUUUGUUCAAAAACAAUAAUUUCUUUAACUUUUUCAUGUUCCAUUUCGAAUCACAUUCAACAACUUCUUAUUUAUUGGUGCAUCUUAAUUUUCUUUUUGAAUUAUUCACACAAGAUGGAAAGUUGCAGUAUGAGUUUAAUCCUUAUUGAGAUGUAUUUUGUAUUAUGAUAGAGAUACAAAAAUAAGUGAAGAGAAAGAAAUUUCUCAAGA